rnacentral:rRNA from 1 species
AGCGAACGCUGGCGGCAGGCCUAACACAUGCAAGUCGAACGAACUCUUCGGAGUUAGUGGCGGACGGGUGAGUAACACGUGGGAACGUGCCUUUUGGUUCGGAAUAACUCAGGGAAACUUGUGCUAAUACCGAAUGUGCCCUUCGGGGGAAAGAUUUAUCGCCAUUAGAGCGGCCCGCGUCUGAUUAGCUAGUUGGUGAGGUAACGGCUCACCAAGGCGACGAUCAGUAGCUGGUCUGAGAGGAUGACCAGCCACACUGGGACUGAGACCCGGCCCAGACUCCUACGGGAGGCAGGAGUGGGGGAUCGUGCGAAAUGGGCGAAAGCCUGACGCAGCCAUGCCGCGUGAAUGAUGAAGGUCUUAGGAUUGUAAAAUUCUUUCAACGGGGACGAUAAUGACGGUACCCGGAGAAGAAGCCCCGGCUAACUUCGUG